CUUAUUGCAAGCCAACAACAACUUCAAUGCAUGGUAUACGAAGAUCAAGCUAUUAAGCCCUCUUGCAUCUGCUUCAGAUAUUUCCUCUCUAUAACAAUGCAAAUACUACAACUCGUAGAACGCUUCACACUCUUGAUCAAGACAAUGUGAAGCAAAAUCAAUUUAUGGUGUUAACCAGAGCUUCAUCAAAUGAGUUCAACCACAGUUCUCAAAAGUUUCACACAUUCUUGAUCAAGACUGUGUGAAGCAAAACCAAUUUAUAGUGCCAACAAGAGCUUCAUCAAUGGAGGGCAACCACAAUUCUCAAAAGCUUCCCACACUUUUGAUCAAGACAGUGUGAAGCAAAACCAAUUUAUAGUGCUAACAAGAACUUCAUCAAUGGAGGGCAACCACAAUUCUCAAAAGCUUCACACACUCUUGAUAAAGACAGUGUAAAGCAAAACCAAUUUAUGGUGCCAACAAAAGCUUCACCAAAGGAGUUCAACCACAAUUCUCAAAAUUUUCACACUCUUGAUCAAGACAGUGUGAAGCAAAACCAAUUUAUGGUGCAAACAAGAGCUUCAUCAAAGGAGGGCAACCACAACUCUCCAAAGCUUCACACACUCUUGAUCAAGACAGUGUGAAGCAAAACCAAUUUAUGAUGCCAACAAGAGCUUCAUCAAUGAAGGGCAACUACAAUUCUCAAAAGCUUCACACACUCUUAAUCAAGACAGUGUGAAACAAAACCAAUUUAUGGUGCCAACAAGAGCUUCAUCAAAGGAGUUCAACCACAAUUCUCAAAAGUUUCACACACUCUUGAUCAAGACAGUGUGAAGCAAAACCAAUUUAUGGUGCCAACAAGAGCUUCAUCAAUGGAGGGCAACCAUAAUUCUCAAAAGCUUCACACACUCUUGAUCAAGACAGUGUGAAGCAAAACAAAUUUAUGGUGCCAACAAAAGCUUCAUCAAUGGAGGGCAACUACAAUUCUCAAACCUUUGAAGCAAAUUCAAGACUGUUCAAAGCAAAUUUUAUUUAUAUGGUUUAUCCAAACCUUCGACUGCUACAAGGUGUGGCUUGCAUCAGAAUCUCUUGCUCAACAGUGUGGAAGCAAAAUUUGUAUAUGUUGUCUCUCCUACAUUUUCAAAUUUCUAGUUUCCCAAAAAAAAAAAAAAAAAAAAAUUCAACAAAGCUUCAUCAAUGGAGGACAACUACAAAUUCUCAAAAGCUUCACACUAUCUUGAUCAAGAUAGUGUGAAACAAAUCAAUUCGUGGUACCCAACAAAGCUUCACCAACAAAAGCUUCAUCAAUGGA
rnacentral:lncRNA from 1 species